UACGUGGGGUGCAAGCGUUGUCCGGAAUCAUUGGGCGUAAAGCGCGCGUAGGUGGUCAUGUAAGUCCGCUGUGAAAGUCAAAGGCUCAACCUUUGAAAGCCGGUGGAUACUGCAUGACUAGAGUACGGAAGAGGCGAGUGGAAUUCCUGGUGUAGCGGUGGAAUGCGCAGAUAUCAGGAGGAACACCAAUAGCGAAGGCAGCUCGCUGGGACGUUACUGACACUGAGGCGCGAAAGCGUGGGGAGCGAACAGG
rnacentral:rRNA from 1 species